rnacentral:rRNA from 1 species
CGGCGGACGGGUGAGUAAUGUCUGGGAAACUGCCCGAUGGAGGGGGAUAACUACUGGAAACGGUAGCUAAUACCGCAUAACGUCGCAAGACCAAAGAGGGGGACCUUCGGGCCUCUUGCCAUCGGAUGUGCCCAGAUGGGAUUAGCUAGUAGGUGGGGUAACGGCUUACCUAGGCGACGACCCCUAGCUGGUCUGAGAGGAUGAUCAGCCACACUGGGACUGAGACACGGCCCAG